UUGUUGUUGUUUCAUGUGGCUUUGCUCCGAACCUCGCACUGGAGCCUUCUCGGCCCUCAUCGCCACCUCCUCUGUAUGUCAUCUCUUGCCCUGGACCGGCUUCCUGUUGCUGGUACUACACAAGGUAGGGCCGAUUGAGCCUAGAUCGACGUAGCAAGGUAUUUGUCACCCUCGAUCCAAACACACGGGUGUAGGAAUUAGAUAAGUUUGAGAUGCGGCGGAAUUUUUGAAUUACGACCAGUGCCUGAGAUGGUUGAUUCUGUGUGGUGAUGUGGAAAUGCGUCUCCGUACAUGAUGUUCUUGUUAGAAACGCUUAUAGCUAGGAGAGACGGUAGCUCAAGGAGAGGUGUGGAGAGCAUCCUCUCUUGCUACUUUGUGUGCGCAAGUAGCUUCCUCAAUGACCCUGACGUUUGGUUGUUGAGGCUUCGGCGUGGACUUGCGUCGUUUGUGCCGGGAGAUUUCCCGGUAGUUUACUGACCUCUUCUGAUCUGUGUAGCACAACCAAGACACGUCUCAGAGAGAUACAAUUUACUUACCUAGCUGGACAGGUAGAAGCACUCAACGCCCCGUCUACAGCCAUGCUACGCCUCCAGUGUAAAGUCCAAACCCCUCUACACGUUACUCUGAUCUUAUCCAGCAGGUGCGACAUAUGACUAGUGUAGGUGCUGGAAGAUAUCAAUGCUUGCCGAGGUAGAGGAUUACCUCUAUCGUCUUCACCGCGAUGCAACCGCCACAAGAGCCGAUCAAAAAGGAAUUCCAAAGGGAAAAUUGUUGAUUUCCUGGUCAGUUCAGCUCCUUAUUCCCAGA